CACAGACGGACGGACGGACGGACAUAACGAUCUUAUAAAAGGCUUUCACCCCUUAAUAAAUUGUAUGUGCACACUUGCAUGAAGUAUUCAUUUAGCCGAUAUCGUCAUACCUUCUUACAUAUAAUUUCGCCUUUCGAAAGUGUAAGUUUCUUAUUCUUACAUGAGGUAGACGUGGCUGCUUCCGCGCCUACAGGAUCGCAGAAAAUAUUGGUAUGAGGAAAACAAAAAAUGUCAUACAGUGAAAUUUUCAAAUCUUCUUUAAGCAAACAAUUUUUAUCUGCGCACGGCUCACGUCGGGGACAAAAGCUAUUUGCAUAACAAAAGUUUUGAAUCACACUCGUAAUCGUCCCAAUAAAAUGAAACCGUUCGGAUACCUAACUAUCAAACUUAUGUUUCUUAUGUUUACCCAGCUCACUCCUUCCUCCAGUAUUUCGUCGAUUCCUAACUUCUUUAUCGACUCCAACGUUUACUUCGUGCAACGCAUAGGAGAAAAUAACAAGGAUUUUCCGCCAUAUUUCUCACAAAUUGUCCGCAACAAUCAAUACUCUCCUAUUUCUGUGAAUCAAAUCAUCUCGAACAGCUCACAAGCUUAUCUACUUGGUUUUCCUAACCACUCUCCUAUCCCCCGGCACGCGAGAUCUCAUCUAACCACUGUCGCAUUUAUUGCCUCCGAGGCUGAAUUGUGCGGAGAUAUUACCCAGUUUUUGACACAGAAAAUCGUAAUGUUGCAUAUUAACCCGAAGUACCUGUUCGAGCAUACAUAUCACCCCCGAAAUCUAAAAAAUUUCAACAACUUUUUUUUGCACAUGGGCACCUCCAUGCUCUUACUUUUUAGCGUAGAUAUCCUAAGGAAGAUAUUCGUGCCGUGCAUUAUAUGUGAAGAUGUCUUAGAAGUGGAAAUAAAUAAGAUAACUCAUCUGUCAGAAUUGUGUGGGCUUUGGUUGUCUCAGAAUAGUAACUUUGCUCAAAACCACGUCUCAAUCACUUAUCCUAUAAAUUUAGAAAAACUUAGUUGCGGUGUUGUCUUCGCACGCCCGAACAAAAAGGUCGUGGUGUCUGGCAGGUGCAAAAUUUCCCACUUGUCUAAGAUAUUUAACUUCUACAUAGUCUACUACAAACAAGCAAAAAAUCCGGUCUCGCAAUUAAAAAUUGGAGUAGUUUUGAAUUCUCUAAGCAUACUAAGUGUUGCGGUACAGCCGUUUACCCAUGUGCCGUACUCGAUGAUGUCCUCAUUUAUCCCGUUUUGUGUUGUGACUCAAUAUCCGUCAAGCCUGGAUGGUAUGAAUGCGUUCUUGCUUCCUCUCAGUGCCACCGUCUGGCUGGUUUUGUUCCUGUCAUGUGUCACAAUCUGUAUUCUAGCACAAUUUACGGAACCUCGGAAAAGUGCAAGCAAAAUAAUGGUGGAUAUGGUUCAAAUAAUUUCCAUGCUGAUGAAACAAGUGAAUUCCAAGAGUUUACAAAUAUUUUGUUCCCAUAAGCGAAUUGGUGCUGGAGUUAUUUCUCUAUGGCUGUUAUGUGGAUGUACCCUAAUCAUGGAUAAUUUGUAUACUGGAGAAAUGUUUUCGCGGUUGAGUGCCAUUACGGCUCCAUUAGUUCCUGGAACGCUAACAGAAUUGGUUGAAUCUAAUAUACCGAUUGUCACCAUUACUGGUUACAAUAUUGAAGGAUCUAGUGAUUCCGUUGUGCUCGGAGACACGAUUCCUACUUAUUUGCGAUUUUUCCAGAAUAGAAAUAAAUCUACAAGACUGCUUCGUGAAUUGAGGGACAAGCUGGUUUAUGUGAAAUUCUUCAACCACUCGUCAGGUUAUGCAAUGUUUCUUAAAGCGAUUGUGGGAUUAAGGAGUAUGACAAGUUUCAAUGUGUCAGUUGACACAAGCAAAACUUAUGCUGUCAUUGACGUACCGGUAAUAUUAGACGCCAUAGCGGCAGGGUAUAUAAAUAACAGGACGCGUUUAGUGUUUGAAGCAAAGGAGCCAACACCUUUCGAGUCCAUUUCAUUCGACGUAACAUUAAGGAACUUCUUUUAUCCAUUAUUUUUCAGAAGACUGAGUUACCUUUCAACUUCGGGCAUUGAGGGGAGAUGGGCGAACUUAGAACGUUCGGGGGUUAUAGGCAUUACACAACGUCUAAUGGGAGAAUCAUGGAAUGAAAUAAUGUUUUUUGCAAAUUAUAAAUCCUUGAAGCGUGAUUCAGUGGUACUCUGUGAGAAAGGUCCUAUCCGCCUCAAAACGGUGGGACCCAUAUUUCUAGUUUGUGGAAUCAUGCUCCUGCUCUCUUUGGCUUGUUUUGUGAUGGAAGAUAGAAAACGUUAUGGAGGUCAAAUCAGGGCCAGUAUUCUGGAACUUGGAAGUCAUAUGGGUGUUGGUGCUAGAAUUUUCAAACAGAGUUUCUUAAAGUGUAGUAUGUGUACGGACUGAUGCAGGGAAAAUAAAUUUGAGAAUCGAGUUGAGGUAAUGUUAACAACUGUGGAUGGGGUAUUGGUCAUGUGCAAAAAAUAGGGACAUGUAAAAUCUUGAUCUAGACAAUAACAACAUUUCAAGCAGAAAGAAACAUGCUUUUUCGCAGCGACGCCGAAGAUUUUUUGAGGGAUGAGAAACUUUCUGGCAUCUAUGUACAUACGUAUGUAUGUACACAUUUAAAUACAUACACAUUGUUUUGCAUCGGUUUGGCAAUUUAUUACACAAUUUCUCACAUUGGUAAUAUCUCCUCCAUCUUAAACAUUAAUGGGUGUACCGUUCAAGAACAUAUUAGAUCUAAGUAAUAAAUUGCUAAGUGUACAAGCCCAUACUUAUCCUAUCCAGUUUUUAGUAAGCUUUAUCAUGAUCCCCCCCUUUUUGGACCCACCUCAGAAAAUUAUCUAUGCAAAAUGAUGGCAAACUAACCCUGCGAUGCUACAUGUGUACCCCAUCUCGUAACAAAUCUUAGAAAUCGAACAAAAUUAUUAGCAAGAAUUUUACUUUUGCCACUUAUCCCCUAGCAAGUGACACCUGAAGAAUAAAAACUUCGUGUAUUAAUAUUUCGCCCGCGUGCAAACUGCCGAAUUCGUGCCAUUGCUUCACUAAUCCUAAGCAUACGUAUGAGAAAUACACAUUUCUCAUACAUUAUUAAUCAUGGUAUUGCUCAGUUAAUUGGCAUGGUAUUACAUAAACGCCGAGAUGCAUACCUACAUCUUCGGAUUUGCCAAGAAAAUAACGUAUUAAACCUAAAACCGCACAGAUCCUGGUUUUACACACAAUUACAUAAAUAAGCACUCAUCACCGGCCAGCAGUAUCAAAUCUACACAAAUUUGGAAUUAAUUAGCACCUAAUUUAGCAGCAAUCACUCCACUCCACUAACUUUUUUUAACCUCUUUCAACUUUAUUUACCUCGAUUAAAAUUUCCGUUGAGUACGAUAUUGAAUUCAUAGCUACAUUUGGUAGCAACCAAUUGAAUUUCCAUGAUUUUCUGCAAAAACCCAAUAUUUAUUUCAACCAGUUUCCAAGUUUCGAGUUUUUGUGGCGAAAAUCACGAAAAUCCACUUUUUUACAUUGGUCGUUAUAGGGAAAAUUUCAGAAUUUGUGAAGAAAAAUAUCCCAAAAAGUCAACUUUUUACCAUCGAGUUUUCCACAAAAUACCAAAGAAACAGUCGGAUUUUGAGAAAUUUUGAGAAAUCUGCAUUUUUUAGAAAUACGUAAUAUGACGUAUUUGGUCCUCAAGGGACAGUCGUCAUGGUACGUCAUAUGACGAAUUUGGUAUUCAACGGAUUUUUUUAUACGUGAUAUGACGUAUUUGGUCUCUUAGGGACAUGUUUUGAAAUACGUCAUAUGGCGUAUUUACGUGAAAAGAGGUUAACUCAUUACACUAACACUUGAAUGUGCACAGGUAUAAAUGCGUACCACAUUUUGGCAUCAAUUUGGCCGCUAAAGGUUAGAAAUUGUUUAAAACUACAGUAUAAAAUUUAAUUUUAAUCAUACCAAUUUAAACCAGUGUGUGACCGACACAGUUAUUUUUUUAGGAGUAAUCCCAGUCUAAAAUACGCACGGUCUUCAUGUUCUUAGAACAUGCGGCAAUUCCCUAAUUAUGUAUAGCUGCAUUCGAAUGUAUGUACCCUCAUGCACAUUGUGCAUCUAUUCUGCCUCCAUACUGUUACCAUGACAACUGAAUCGCUUAAUAAAAAAUGACACAAUUCUUAUAAUAAAUUUAAUUGCAAAAUGAAAACCAAAUAUGUAUUUUUGUCACUUUUUAUAUCCUAGUUUCAUGUAUUUAUUACUCGUCAACAUAAUCUUAUUUAGCUAAAUACUUAAUCCCCACUUCAUGGGGAAUUAUUCUCCCUCGGGUAUCCAGAUUGAACACGAAAAUCCUUAACCGGUCGGAUGCUGGUCAAAUAUUUAAUUUGACCUCCUGAUCACACUUGCACUAGCUAAACAGGCGUAAAUCUGGAAUCAAUUAGCAAAUAAUUUAGCACCCAAAUUUCUAAUCCAGUAUACACACACUCUAAUUAAUUAAUGCUAACGUAAAAUAUUCUACAAUAAGUAAAUAAUUGUUCCAUUCUUUUCUUUUGAUUCUUCGCCGUCAAAAUAUGGAACAGUGUCCACAAAAGUUCUGCAUUCAUUUAGCAAUUAGUUAGAGCGGGCGUGUGAAAUUUAGUCAGGAGCACAUUAAAUUAAACCGGUGUGUGACCGACCGAUUUAAUUUUGUAAGGAAUAAUCCAUCCUCACCGCAUGUUUAAAGCAGUUUCGUCUCGAACAUUUGUUUGCAAUUAAGCAAUUGCACAUGAGUGAGUGAUGCUCAAAUGUCUGUCGACUGAGGAAUGGAUGUAGGCAGAUAUUUACACAUUUUAAGCCCAUAAUCGCAUGAGUUUCAACCGGUUACUCCAUUUUCAUGACAAUGGCUCUAAAACCUGAUAAAAGGUCCGGAACCAAGUCAUGGACAUGGAGGCAGAUCAAGAUGACGACGACGAUUGCCGGCAUUUAUAAAACCAGAGGUGAGGAGGCUUUUAUAUUAUCUUCUCUUUGUUUUUAUAUAAUUUUCAAAAAUUUUCUUAGUAAAUUGACAACAGACGCUCGUAAUUACCACUUAAUUUCAUUUUAAGACGUAUAAUACUCAGAAGUAAGCAUCUGGUGCUCAAAAUUAAGUGCAUCGAAAGGAGUGACGACUGAAUAAUGGAUACUGUUAUCAUCAUAAUCAUAUCUUAACUGGAUUUUUGGAUUUAUAUAAAGAUAAGUCACUUUAAAUGAGUAUAUGUCCUUACUGAGGGGGGUACAUUUCCAUGUUGCGUUGAAAAUUGGCCCAAAGAUACUGUCACAUAGUUUAUUGUGAAACAGAAUGACGUUGGAAAUGACCUCAUCGGCGGGAGGAGAUCGCGAAGAGGACCCGUGGACUAAGUCAAUAAAAACAAUUGUAGGCGAGGUCCUAGACAAGAAAUUUGAUGAAUUCCAAGGCCUGGUGAUUGGUGAGAUGAGAAAAUUAGUCGAUAAAGUUACCCACAUUGAGAAGAGGCAGGAUGACCUUUAAGAGAAAGUGGAGUUGCUCUCAGCUGAGGUUCACAGUGAGUUUUCGGCCGUCAGAGAAGAAAUACAAGAACAGAAGCGAAGAAUUAUCAGGAUGUCAAAUAUUGUGAUGAUGGGAGUGCCGGAGACAACGGCAGAAUUACAAAUUGCGAAGGACAUCGUUAAGAUUAUCGCGCCAGGUUUCAGCGGAGCGAUUGUUGAUAAUCGUAUCGGUGAUUCGAGUGGACGGAAACCGCGCCCCCUCCGCAUCAGUUUUCACUCAGCCGCGGAAAAGAAUGCAGCACUGUCUAUGUGCAAGAAAUUAGCUGGGAUAGAGGUGUACUCUUCAAUAUCAGUAAGGAAGGAUUUGACCAAACAGGAACAAGUCGAAUGGCGAGCGAAAGUUGGUGCGAAAAAGGUGCAAAACCAGGAUAAGAUGCAUACGAGAUCAUCAUUAAAGCGAACGAUUGACGAUGAUGAAAAUCGGAACCAGCCAAAUCCUAAGCAAAAUCGACGGGAGGGCGAACGGAUGGAUCAGGAUGAAUGACUGAUUCCAGUAAAUAAGAUAUUUUAUGUAUGACGGAGACUUGGUUUAAGCCUGACACAGAGUAUUGUAUACCGAAUGGAUUUUCAUUGUACAGAAAAGACAGACUUACAAGGGGCGGCGGGGUCGCAAUAUUGGCAAAAAGCACGUAUUUGCAGCAUUCAACAACUUUGCACCAGUGGAAACAACAAGAAUCAAGCAAGAGGGACAAUGCAAAUGGAUCUCAUCUCGAACACGUAAUAUGAUAAUGGAUAGGGAUUUCAACUACCAGCGUUGGAGAACGACAAAAGCUAAAUACCAUUUGUGUGAGGCAAAACUUUUAAAUAAACACAUUAAGAGGUCUGUAAAACAUGACAUGUUUCAAAACACUCAAUAUAGAAUUGGAAAGUUUGGAGUGUGGAAAGCGUUACGGAGUUUUGGUGUGGAUUUUGGCAAGACUCGUAGGGAAAUUAAUAGGACUGUUAGUUUAAAUGAAAUCAACAUGUACUACUGUAAUAUGGGUUUUCCAGCGGGUCAGAGUCCUUAUGAUACACUAGGGUCGGAUGGUGUAAUUGAUAUAGAUAAACAGUGUAAGUUUGUUGUUACGAACUGCAGUACGCAUGAAAUGGUAAAGGCGUGGAAGGCUCUGAAGCAUAAAAACUCUAAAAUCCCGGAUACUACGGGUUUAUCCAAAUUUAUGUUACAAUUAGUUCUACCUAUUCCGGCUGUUCGUGAUUCUGUUCUAAAAAUUUGUAAUGAUUCUUUUUCAUCCGGUGUAAUUCCGAAUAUGUUAAAAUUGUCACGUGUAGCGUUAAUAGAGAAGGUCAAGGGCGCUACUUCUCCAGAGGAAUUUAGACCGGUAGUGCUGUCACCUAAUCUAUUACUUUUAAUGGAAAUGAUCUAUAGUAUCAGGCUAGAAAAGUACUUAUAUGAUGAAAAUGUAUUAUCCGUGUCGCAGUUUGGCUAUAGAAAAUUGCAUAAUACUGAGCAUCUCAUGUUGGCGAUGACUGAUUUAAUACGUAUGAAUGUUGAUAAGGGUCUGGUAUGUGCACUUGUAACUAUUGACUAUCAGAAGGCCUUUGAUUCGUGUCCUAGGGGCCCCUUACUUGAAAAAUUAUGUAAAACGUACAAUAUAUUAUUGGCUAAGAGAUUUUUUGAAUAAUCGGAUGCAAUUUGUUGAAGUAAAUAGUCAGCGAUCUGAUAUAGUGAAAACGUUAACGGGGGUCCCGGCUGGUAGCAUUAUUGGUGGAAGGCUAUUUUCUCUAUAUAUUGACGAUAUGGGUAAAGUCUUGGUAUAUGGUAAUGAUAUGAAAUUUGUGGAUGAUGCGUCCUUUGUAUUUUUUGGAAAGAUUAAUGAAUUGAAUGAGUUGCAAAGUCGUGUUAAUUUUGAUAUGAAUAAUGUGGUGAACUAUGUAAGCGAUCAUAAAAUGUCUCUGCAUAAAGAUAAAACAAAGUUACUUAUUAUAGGUAGUAGACAAAAUCUGUCACGUGUGUCGAAUUUCAAUAUCUUGGUCAAUAAUGUAAUUGUGAGGCCAUGCGACAAGCUUAAAUGUGUUGGUACAACUAUAGAUCCAAAUUUAACGUGGAAAUAUCAUAUAAAUAAUAUUGCAAAGAACGCGUAUUUUAGGAUAAGAAGUAUGUAUGCAAUAAGGCAAUAUUUCUCAAAGGUGUCUCUGGCCAUGAUUGGUACUGCAAUGGUGUUGUCAAUAUUGAAUUAUAUGGUAUGUGUAUGGGGUUCUACUUCGAAAAAGUAUCUAUUGGUAGCAGAGAAGGUGGUGCGUGCACUGGCUCGUCUUGUCGUUGGAAGACGGAAAUAUGAUCCUGUAGCGGAAAUAAUAAAAUCUGAUUUAAAUUGGUUGUUUCCGACUGAAAUGUGUUCUUAUAAAACAUUGUGUAUCAUGUUUAAAAUAAUUCGUUUAAAUGGUGUUCCUUACUUUGCGGGCAAAUUUGUAAAACAAAGUGAGGUCCAUAAUUAUGCAACUAGGGGCUCUAUAAAUAAUUUUCGAAGCGGUAUGAAACCGAAAACUGAAUUUGCUAAGAAAUCGUUUAAUUUUAGAGCAAUAUGUUUAUGGAAUGGGUUAUCUGACGAGCUAAAGAACGAAAUGUGCUAUGUGAGUUUUAAAGAGAAGCUGAAAGAUUAUUUGUUAAAAUUAUAACUAAUUAUUCGAUUUGUACUGAUUUUUGUUAUUCAAUUAGUUGAUGAAAAUACUAUGAACUAUAAAGCAUGAUAUGUUGUAAAAAUGUAUAAGGUCAAGUAUUUCCCACUUGAUGGGGUUUGAUCUUAUUUUGAUGAAAUGUAAUGGACUAAUUUUGCGUGAACAAAUAAAUCCUCAUUAUUUAUUUAUAAAACCA